rnacentral:misc_RNA from 1 species
AAGUCGUAACAAGGUCUCCGUUGGUGAACCAGCGGAGGGAUCAUUAUCGAGUUUAUAACUCCCAAACCCUAUGUGAACUUACCACUUGUUGCUUCGGCGCGCGCUUCGGUGCCGCCGAGGACACUUAAACUCUUUGUUUUUAUAAGCAUUUCUGAGUGGCCGAAAGGCAAAAUACAAAUGAAUCAAAACUUUCAACAACGGAUCUCUUGGUUCUG